GCUUGUGCCGAUUGCAAAGACCCACCUUCCACCUUAAGCUUACUCCCAAGCUCGCCAUCUUGGAAACUUUCAUACGCCGGAGAAGAGCAACAUCAAUGCCAAACGAAGGAAAAAGAAGAGCAAAGAGAAGUAGAAGACAACCGAAGAUCUGAACUCCCAAAUCUCACAACUCUUGAGGAGUCAACAAGUAGACCAUAAAUUGAUCAUUUGCUGCUUCUUCCUCCGAAGCAACACA